rnacentral:rRNA from 2 species
ACGCUGGCGGCAGGCCUAACACAUGCAAGUCGAACGGUAGCACAGAGAGCUUGCUCUCGGGUGACGAGUGGCGGACGGGUGAGUAAUGUCUGGGAAACUGCCUGAUGGAGGGGGAUAACUACUGGAAACGGUAGCUAAUACCGCAUAACGUCGCAAGACCAAAGAGGGGGACCUUCGGGCCUCUUGCCAUCAGAUGUGCCCAGAUGGGAUUAGCUAGUAGGUGGGGUAACGGCUCACCUAGGCGACGAUCCCUAGCUGGUCUGAGAGGAUGACCAGCCACACUGGAACUGAGACACGGUCCAGACUCCUACGGGAGGCAGCAGUGGGGAAUAUUGCACAAUGGGCGCAAGCCUGAUGCAGCCAUGCCGCGUGUAUGAAGAAGGCCUUCGGGUUGUAAAGUACUUUCAGCGGGGAGGAAGGUGUUGUGGUUAAUAACCGCAGCAAUUGACGUUACCCGCAGAAGAAGCACCGGCUAACUCCGUGCCAGCAGCCGCGGUAAUACGGAGGGUGCAAGCGUUAAUCGGAAUUACUGGGCGUAAAGCGCACGCAGGCGGUCUGUCAAGUCGGAUGUGAAAUCCCCGGGCUCAACCUGGGAACUGCAUUCGAAACUGGCAGGCUAGAGUCUUGUAGAGGGGGGUAGAAUUCCAGGUGUAGCGGUGAAAUGCGUAGAGAUCUGGAGGAAUACCGGUGGCGAAGGCGGCCCC